GUCGAACGCUGGCGGCGUGCUUAACACAUGCAAGUCGAGCGAUGAACCCGGAGCUUGCUCCGGCGGAUUAGUGGCGAACGGGUGAGUAACACGUGAGUAACCUGCCCUUGACUCUGGGAUAACUGCGGGAAACUGUAGCUAAUACCGGAUACGACCCUCGGCGGCAUCGCCAGGGGCUGGAAAGAAUUUCGGUCAAGGAUGGACUCGCGGCCUAUCAGCUAGUUGGUGAGGUGGCGGCUCACCAAGGCGACGACGGGUAGCCGGCCUGAGAGGGUGACCGGCCACAAUGGGACUGAGACACGGCCCAGACUCCUACGGGAGGCAGCAGUGGGGAAUAUUGCACAAUGGGCGCAAGCCUGAUGCAGCAACGCCGCGUGAGGGAUGACGGCCUUCGGGUUGUAAACCUCUUUUAGUAGGGAAGAAGCGAAAGUGACGGUACCUGCAGAAAAAGCACCGGCUAACUACGUGCCAGCCGCCGCCGUAA
rnacentral:rRNA from 1 species